UACAGAGGGUGCGAGCGUUGUUCGGAAUCAUUGGGCGUAAAGCGCUUGUAGGCGGCUUGUUAAGUCGCGUGUGAAAUCCCUUGGCUCAACCAAGGAAGUGCGCGCGAAACUGGCGAGCUGGAGUGCCGGAGAGGGUCGCGGAAUUCCCGGUGUAGAGGUGAAAGUCGUAGAUAUCGGGAGGAACACCAGUGGCGAAGGCGGCGACCUGGACGGACACUGACGCUGAGACGCGAAAGCGUGGGGAGCAAACAGG
rnacentral:rRNA from 1 species